GGCCCGGUACGGCGGACCGGGCGGCAGCGUCCGCGACGUGCUGGGUGCGGUGAUCCAGAUCGCGCGCGGCAGUUCCAAUGUGGCCCAGGCUC
rnacentral:tRNA from 2 species